rnacentral:rRNA from 1 species
UUAUAAAAUUAGUUAUUUAUUAAUUUUGGGAGAAAGAAUUUUUUGUUUAUGUAAUUUUUGACAUAAUAUUUAUAAUUAUAGAUGAUUAGCACAGUGAUGGAAAGUUUUUAAAUAAGAAAAAGAAUUUUUUGUUUAAAGUACCUUUUGUAUCAGGGUUUAUUAAAACUAGUUUUAGAGGAAAUUUUCUCGAAUUUUGGAGGGCUAAAAAUUAAUAUAUUUUAAUGUAGAAAAAUUAUUUAUAAUUAAUUUUUUGUAAUUAGACGUUAGUCGUUCUUUAAAAUAUCUAGUUUUCUAAGAAAUUAAUUUAAUUAACUAGGGUAAAAUGAUUUUUAUUGGGAAGUAAAGCUUUUAUGCUUGGAAUAUUUAGGGGGAAAAGCUCUUAAAUAGAAUUUUUAUAAUGUGGUUAGUUUAUUAUGAUGUAUAGGAUUAGAAGUUUCCAUUUUUAGUGUGUUUUUACUAGGUUUUAUAAAAAAUUAAUUUUUGUUAUUUUAGAUUUUUUAUUAGAAUAAAGUCUUGAAUGUCUUAGACUUGUAAUUAUGAUGAAAUUAGUAGAAUAAAAUGUAUUGAAAUAGUUAAAGGUAAAAUAUUAUUUUAAGGAAUUAGGCAAAUUACUUUUCGCCUGUUUAAUAAAAACAUGGCUUUUUGAUGAUAAUAUAAAGUCAGGCCUGCCCAAUGAUAAUUUAAAUGGCUGCGGUAUUCUGACCGUGCAAAGGUAGCAUAAUCAUUAGUUUUUUAAUUGAAAGCUGGAAUGAAGGGUUUAACGAGAAAGAAGCUGUCUUAAUUUAAUUAUUUGAAUUUUAUAUUUGAGUGAGAAAGCUUAAAUGAGUCUGAGGGACGAGAAGACCCUAUAGAAUUUAAUAGUUGUGUUAUUUUAGGUAUUUAGUUUUAGAGAAAUAAAGUAUUCAUGAAUUAAUUUGUUGGGGUGAUGGAAAAAUUUAAAUAACUUUUUCUAGUAUUUUUCAUUAAUGGAUGAUUGUUGGAUCCUCUAAAAGUGAUUGUAAGAAUAAAUUACCUUAGGGAUAACAGCGUAAUUAAUCUGGAGAGCUCAAAUCGAUAGAUUAGUUUGCGACCUCGAUGCGGCUGGUGAAGGGACUAGAAAGCUGAGUCUGUUCGACUUUUAAAAUUUUACAUGAUCUGAGUUUAAACCGGCGUGAGCCAGGUUGGUUUCUAUCUUCAAAUAAAUAAAAUUUUUUAGUACGAAAGGACCAGAAAUUUUCUAUAUUAGAUUAUUGAUGAUUAAAAUU